CUGAGCUUAACUAACACCUGGCACAGAGAAGAAACAUAUUAAGGAUUUGCUGAGAGAAUAAGACAGUAUAACUUGGUCUUAUAUCUAAGGCUGGAGUACAAUGGCAUGAUCUCGGCUCACUGAAACCUCUGCCUCCUGGGUUCAUUCAAGCGAUUCUCCUGCCUCAGCCUCCUGAGUAGCUGGGAUUACAGGCAUGCGCCACCAUGCCCGGCUAAUUUUGUAUUUUUAGUAGAGAUGGGGUUUCUUUAUGUUGGUGAGGCUAGUCUCGAACUCCUGACCUCAGGUGAUCCACCUGCCUCGGCCUCCCAAAUUGCUGGGAUUACAGGCAUGGGCUACUGCGCCUGGCCUGUAUCUCCAAUUCUUUACGUAUGCCUGACGAACUGCUAUUCCAUCUUGUAGGGCUAAAAUCAAAUUUUUUUUCAUUUUUGGGAAGCCUCCUCUACAUACCUCCACCUUCUAACUCCAAGAAGUCAAACAAAAAGACCUUUAGGUGCGGGCCCUCUGUCUUGGACUUCUCAACCUCCAG